GCGGGCUGGAAGUCGCGGGCAGUCUUGGGGCGCUGGACCAGGAAGCCCAUGAUCUGCACCUGCUUCUGGUUGUCGAAGGCCACCAGGCGCACGUAGGCAUCGGGGAAGGCCUUGGUGCAGGCGACGAUCUCGCGCAGCACCUGCAUGGGGUCGCGGCAGCCGAACAUGGGCAGCUUCCACAUGGUCCAGUAGCGGUUGUCGUAGUACAGCUGCGGGCGCACGGGAAAUGGGAGGGAGAAGAGGUUCAGUCACCAGCGCACAGAACCACCAAAGAUGGAAUUGGGCCCCUUGCUUUUCCGUGCUGAAGCACGAGCAGGGGUAUGCGUCAGUUCCCCGCGGUGAGAUAGGCGCUGUCCCGGUGCCAAGCUAACCCAGUGCCACAGUGGACCCGUCUGGCUCUCGCUCCGACUUACGCAAGACACGCUGCCGAAGCGGAUGGCCGACUCGUUGGACACGUAGGCCUUGUCGGCCUCAGCGAACUCCAGGCAGGGGAUCCAGCCUGCAAGCGACAGCACGAAGGGGGUAAGAUAAGUGGCCGACGCAAGCAGUCCAGGGCUAUCCCAGAUAAGGGCGGAUGACAGGCAAACUAUACAGCAGACAACGAACAAGCUAAUCUCAAGCUUCGAGCGAUCGUAAUGUCGCAGUCUGCAGCUACGCCCUAGAUCGUAUUAACUAGCUCUCAAACACAGCCCAGCUACAUAUGCCCACGGCACCAAGCCGUGCUCACCGUUGGCGACGAUGUAGUCGACCUGGGCGGCGAUCUGCUCGUCGGUCAGAGGAGGCAGGUAGGAGAAGGUCUCGAACAUCCUGCGAUCACGCGAUUGACCAGUACUCGUUAGAAGUGGCAGAGCACGUGCGAUGUGAGGCAGCAGGCUGGGCCCCAAGCAAUUGCGUCGCGACUUGCAGAAUCCCUAUCCUUCGGGCUGCGCUUGCUCGUCGACUCACUUGUUGUUGACCGGGGUCCAGACCAUCAUCUGGUUGGCCUGAGCCGGGGCAGCCACGGGGGCAGCCUUGACGGCGGGCUUCAGCGCGGCCAUGGGGCGCACGCUGGAGCGGGCCGGGCGAGCCACGGCCGCGGAGACGGAGGACUUGGCAAUGACGGCGGCCAUUUUAGAUGUUUGAGAAAGUGGUCGAAUGAACGAGUAAGUUCUUGGGACAAAGACUCGGAGGUGGCCGGUCGCCGUUUUCAAUCCCCGCUCGCCGAUGACCCGUACGGCAGGCUUAUCCGACUCGUCGGCUUUCACGACCGCCCGAGCCUGCGCGCUUCAUCCGCUUCCGGAUAGCUUGCUACGAUAAUGCAUUAUUCAAUUUUACGACGCAAUGUCAUGAGCAGCGCCGGGCGGGCUUAUUUACAUGCGUCGCCUCGCUCGCCGUUGACUUGAUACUUUGGAAAUUCGGGCUCGAUUCGUUGCUACAGCCUGCCUUUUGCACACAAUGUGAACGUCGAUUCUACAUUUGUAUGUGACUGAACUUCGCGGCCCCUACUGAACGUUUCGUGCAAGCGACAUGUCGACUCACAACUUGGAGGAACGCGCGAGGGGUCCCCACACGCACUUUCAGCCUGCUUUGGCGAAAUGGACAUGAUAGGUAUAGCCAGGAUAUGGGUCUGCUAGCUCGCCUGGUGUUUUGACCGUCGAUCGGUUUCGCGUUGGGCCUUGCGGCUGCUCGCUCGCCGCGGAUGCUUCCGCACACUGCGCGGCACGUGUUAGUCUGUGCACGACGACGGUUUGUUUGUAUUGCGCCGCCAACGUUCAACGGUGGUGGUAGGUUCGAAUGUCAGAAUGUCGGGCACGGGGACCUUGGGCGCAUUGCCUACAAGCGCGUGCCUGUGUUUUUGGGGGGCAGAGAAGUGAGCCUGCCUAUUGGGUCACAAUAGCACAGAGGCGGGUGGCCAGCGUCGGGAACUGGUUCAGAACGGCUGCAGGGACAGCACCGUGCGUGCGUGUGUGUGUGGGGGGAGCCUUCAAAGUUGACGAGCUUCGCAGCGCUGGGAUGGACUGGCAUUGCGUGCUUGAGUUUGCGUCCCGUGAGAACCCUGCAGUUUAUGGCGGAGACAGGGAAGAGGGAAUGGGAUCGCGCCGGUGCAGGGAAAGGGCACGAAUCUGAGGUUACGGUAUCUGGGGGGAGGUGCCCAUGUGGGAGGGGAAGCCUAACUGCCUGUCUGGGUGCAGACCAGGAAUGGCAACACGUGAACGGUUAGUAGAGAGCUGUGUGCUGUUGGGCGCUCUCGGCAAGGGGCGUGGGAGGGGGCUGGGUUGGUGGGCGGCUGUCCGCACAGUGCCUAGCAGUGCGCACUCAGGCCCUUCGCAGACCGAAGAGGGCGCCAGGGCCUAUGCGCGCGUGGCUUGGCGUGAGGUUCUUGCUGUUGGCGUCAGGCGCCGCAAAAGGCCGGGUGGCUCUGCAGUGUCCUGCUCGCUUGGCGUGCGGCAAAGUGGUUCAGUCAGCGAGCGCAGUGUAUGCGUGUGUGCGUGUAUGCGUGUGCGUGCGUGUGUGUGUGUGUGUGUGUGUGUGUGUGUGUGUGUGUGUGGUUGCUGCGGAGAGGGCACGCAGCGACACGAGAUUGCCAUGCAGUGGUGCAAGCUGCUGGGGUCGGGUAAACGGGGUGGGAAAGUUGGUGAUGGUGGAAUGUUCUUGUGGCACGAACUGGCCUUGUGCGUAUUCGUUCGCCCCGUUCACUCUGGUCCACCAAUCCCACAGUCACUGCACUUAAAUGCCUAAAAGCCCCUGCUACGGUGCGGACAGGGUAAGGCCACGGCAGGUCUAAGUCCAUAUGCGCCCGUAGAGGUUCGAGUGCGUUAACCGGUCGCAAGGUGUUCACAACAUGUUGAUGUGUUGACAACAUGGCUGUGGUCAAGACGUGCCCUGCGAACUUCCCGUGUUUACAUGUUAAUAGAGCUCGCUGACAGCAGUCAUUUGACACCAUUAUGGAAGAAAACAGAGGGGAUUUAGGGGGUGUACGGCACGGUAUGGCACGGUCGGUCGUCGGUCCGGGGGGUCGGGGGGUUCUGCAGGGUGGGGCCUGGAACUAUUGUUCGUACACCCCCGCCUGGCUCCCCUGCUCCCCCUGACUAACCCCUGACCUCUGGCUUUCUUCGCUUUCCUUUCAGUGUCACCAAUUCUCAUGAGUGGGGGCGCACCCCGAAAUAAGCGGGUACGGUGCUUCAGUUCAGUGCUUGCCACGGCCUCAAGAGCCCCAAACCACGUGCACCGAAAUUCGCUUGCACUCCAAAUGCACUGGGAAGCCAGUAGCAGCGCGCUCUCAAAUGCUGGCAUGUGUCUCUCUCUGUCCAGAGCCUGAAUGCGCCAAGUCUGCUACGGUAGGAGGGUGCAACCCGUGGCCCGCCUUGAACCGCGCUUGCACACACAGCUGGAUUGCUGCUGGCAUGACCGUGUGAAAGAGGUACAGGCAGCCGGGCAAGUCCCAGCGGGCAGGUUGGUGUAGGCUAUGCCCCAUAACAGGCCCGUGCAUGCUGCCACGGACUUCUCGCCAGGAAUGUAAGUCCCGAUGCUAGACAAUUACUCCAGCAGCUGCAUGCCGCCAUCUUCAGUACUCGGUAUCCCUUGGUGCACGCAAGUCAAGGAUCAGUCCCAGGGCUCACCCUGGAGCAAUGCAGCCUGCGUGUGCACCUGCGAUGGAGCCGCGGCCUGCGGUAUUGGCUGCCCGAUUACGAAGCUGCGGGUGGGGGCAGUUGGCACGCAUUCCGCCACAGACCCCGCGAGCCUAGCCGCACCCAAGCUCUAAGCGGCCUAGACCGUGACCAAAGGCGAAGAAGCCGCGGCCAUCCCUGCGCUCAGAUUGCAUUGGUUACAAGAGGGACCUGCUGACGCAGUUCAUGGCUUCAUGCGCUCAGAGCCCGAGCCCUGAGCGGCAGCAAAAGCAGAAGCCACGCUACGUGUGCUAGCUACGACCAAUGCCUUGUACAGCUCUCCUCGGCUGCGCUCUUCGGCUGCGCUCCUCGGCUGCGCGGGACAGGGGACUCCGUGCAACCACUAUUGCUUAUAGCCUGCACCAGUCAUUGACGAGUGUUGCGGAACUAAUGCGUACGUAGACCAGAGCGGAAGGCGGAGUGGGCUUGCAGGCGGCACGAGAGUAGGCAGUCAGUAGCGCAAGUUGCGAAUUCCCAUGUUACCUCGUAACCGACGGUAAACGCUGUGGACGGUCGCGCCCAUGGCUGGCUGACGGAAGCUGGCUGCGGUAUUGGGAUGGCUGGGCUGGAUGACGCCGGCCGGGCUGGCGUUGGGACUACCAGAAAGGAUGCGCCCGAAACCAACCUGGAGAACACCAGCGCCACCGGUGCCCAGCACGACAUGUAAGGGAGGGAGGGAGGGACAGGAGGCGUGAUGCACUGCAGCGUAGAAGCUGCAGUCAUGGGCACAGCUUGUACCAUACAGCACGGUCAUCAAGGACACAAUGCCGGAACGGCAUCAUACGAGGCGGGGUUGGGAGCUGCAGGAAGUGGGCAGCGGGGCAGAAUCAAAGGUUUGCAUCGUUUAGAACAGGUGCGGAACACGCGCCAGCGCCAGCGCGGAGGACCCCAAGUAAGGCCUUUACUCACCAAUGUACGUUUUGUACACCCAAUCUCGCCCCCUAUCGACGUUGGCACUAGGUAGCUGGCUAUCAUUCUAUGCAGAUUAAGCAAAGGGGCACCGGGAACAACUGACUCAUGUUCGUCACUGCAGGUUACUGCAAAUGCUGUCUCCACCUUUGCUGCACGGUUCCGUUUCGUCACGUUUGCUGGUGUUGCUACCCGCCGUUCUUUAGUGUGUAACUGAUCUGCGAACCGAGUCCCCUUCAGCUGAUGAACCCCGCAGCAACUUUUCCAAAAGCGCUUCAAAUACGCCCAGCCCGCCCAUGGAGAAAGAGGCCAAAAUCAACGGAGGAUCGUUACAACCAACAAAAUUGCAAAACUCCUCCGCUUUUUACGUGUUGAAAAAGACUGAUCAGCACGAAACGGGGAGCUAAGCUACCGCUUCAGCACUUGAGAGCAGUAUCUUCCAUCCACCGCCGUUCGUCAGGGGGCAAGGCUCAGAUCAACGAGCGCCUCCAUUUACACGGAGCGCUUGUUGGCGGGCUGCCAGUCGCGGGCAGACUUGGGGCGCUGGACCAGGAAGCCCAUGAUCUGCACCUGCUUCUGGUUGUCGAAGGCCACCAGGCGCACGUAGGCAUCGGGGAAGGCCUUGGUGCAGGCGACGAUCUCGCGCAGCACCUGC
rnacentral:lncRNA from 1 species